rnacentral:rRNA from 1 species
UCAAGCUACAAAGGGCUCACGGCGGAUACCUUGGCACACAGAGGCGAUGAAGGACGUGGUUACCUGCGAUAAGUCUCGGGGAGCUGGAAACACGCUUUGAUCCGGGAAUUUCCGAAUGGGGCAACCCUUAGAACGGCCAGCUGAAUCUAUAGGCUGGCGCGAGCCAACCCAGCGAACUGAAACAUCUUAGUAGCUGGAGGAAAGGAAAGUAAAAACGACUCCCUAAGUAGCGGCGAGCGAACGGGGAAGAGCCUAAACCAAUGGUUUCGACCAUUGGGGUUGUGGGACAGCAACGUGGAUCAGGAAUGUUAGUGGAAGUGUUUGAAAGACACGCCAUAGAAGGUGAAAGCCCCGUACACGAAAACUGAACUGACCUAGCUGUAUCCCGAGUAGCACGGAGCACGUGGAAUUCCGUGUGAAUCAGCGAGGACCACCUCGUAAGGCUAAGUACUCCUGUGUGACCGAUAGCGAAACAGUACCGCGAGGGAAAGGUGAAAAGAACCCCGGGAGGGGAGUGAAAUAGAACAUGAAACCGUGAGCCUACAAGCAAUGGGAGCCCUACUCAUAGGGUGACCGUGUGCCUGUUGAAGAAUGAGCCGGCGACUUAUAGGCACUGGCGGGUUAAACCGGAAAUGGUGGAGCCAUAGCGAAAGCGAGUCUGAAUAGGGCGUUUGUCAGUGUUUAUAGACCCGAACCCGGGUGAUCUAACCAUGGCCAGGAUGAAGCUUGGGUGAUACCAAGUGGAGGUCCGAACCGACUGGCGUUGAAAAGCCAGCGGAUGAGCUGUGGUUAGGGGUGAAAUGCCAAUCGAACCCGGAGCUAGCUGGUUCUCCCCGAAAUACGUUGAGGCGUAGCGUCUCGUGCUCCAGCAGGGGGGUAAAGCCACCAUUUCGGUGCGGGCUGCGAGAGCGGUACCAAAUCGAGAUGAACUCUGAAUACCCUGUGUGUAGCGAGGCAGUCAGACUGUGGGGGAUAAGCUCCAUGGUCGAGAGGGAAACAGCCCAGACCGCCAGCUAAGGUCCCCAAAUCAACACUAAGUGAUAAAGGAGGUGGGAUUGCCCAGACAACCAGGAGGUUUGCCUAGAAGCAGCCAUCCUCAAAGGAGUGCGUAAUAGCUCACUGGUCGAGCGAUCCUGCACCGAAAAUGAACGGGGCUAAGUGUUGUACCGAAGCUGCGGAUUUAUGGUAGGGGAGCGUUCUAUGUGGGGCGAAGCGUUAGCGUGAGCGGGCGUGGACUGCAUAGAAGUGAGAAUGUCGGCUUGAGUAGCGAAAACAUGGGUGAGAAUCCCAUGCACCGAAACCCUAAGGGUUCCUCCGGCAGGCUCGUCCGCGGAGGGUUAGUCUGGACCUAAGGCGAGGCCGAAAGGCGUAGUCGAUGGAUAACAGGUCAACAUUCCUGUACCGGUCAUGUUUUGGGAAGAGGGACGGAGAAGGCUAGCCAAGCCAGAUGUUGGUUACUGGUUCAAGCGUUCGAGGCGUUGAGGAGCGGUGAAAACGUUCCGAGCUGAGGCGUGAGUACGAGCUGCUACGGCAGCGAAGUUGGUGACGUCAUGCUUCCAAGAAAAGCUCUAUACCCGUUAAGACAUGAUUGCCAGUACCCGAAACCGACACAGGUGGGGUGGUAGAGAAUACCGAGGUGCGCGAGGUAACUCUCUCUAAGGAACUCGGCAAAAUGGCCCCGUAACUUCGGGAGAAGGGGUGCCACAGCAAUGUGGUCGCAGUGAAGAGGCCCUGGCGACUGUUUACCAAAAACACAGGUCUCCGCUAAGUCGCAAGACGAUGUAUGGGGGCUGACGCCUGCCCAGUGCCGGAAGGUUAAGGAAGCCGGUCAGCGUAAGCGAAGCUGGCGACUGAAGCCCCGGUGAACGGCGGCCGUAACUAUAACGGUCCUAAGGUAGCGAAAUUCCUUGUCGGGUAAG